rnacentral:rRNA from 1 species
GACGAACGCUGGCGGCGUGCUUAACACAUGCAAGUCGAACGGAAAGGCCCUGCUUUUGUGGGGUGCUCGAGUGGCGAACGGGUGAGUAACACGUGAGUAACCUGCCCUUGACUUUGGGAUAACUUCAGGAAACUGGGGCUAAUACCGGAUAGGAGCUCCUGCUGCAUGGUGGGUGUUGGAAAGUUUCGGCGGUUGGGGAUGGACUCGCGGCUUAUCAGCUUGUUGGUGGGGUAGUGGCUUACCAAGGCUUUGACGGGUAGCCGGCCUGAGAGGGUGACCGGCCACAUUGGGACUGAGAUACGGCCCAGACUCCUACGGGAGGCAGCAGUGGGGAAUAUUGCAAAAUGGGCGGAAGCCUGAUGCAGCAACGCCGCGUGCGGGAUGACGGCCUUCGGGUUGUAAACCGCUUUCGCCUGUGACGAAGCGUGAGUGACGGUAAUGGGUAAAGAAGCACCGGCUAACUACGUG